rnacentral:rRNA from 1 species
CCUACGGGGGUCAGCAGUGAGGAAUAUUGGUCAAUGGGCGUAAGCCUGAACCAGCCAUCCCGCGUGAAGGAAGAAGGCGCUAUGCGUUGUAAACUUCUUUUCCAGGGAAAGAAAACCCCCGACGUGUCGGGGCUUGCCGGUACCCUGGGAAUAAGCAUCGGCUAACUCCGUGCCAGCAGCCGCGGUAAUACGGAGGAUGCAAGCGUUAUCCGGUUUUAUGGGGUUGUAGGGGUGCGAAUACGUAUGAGUAGAAAACCUUCAGCUUAACUGGAGAACUGCCAUUGAUACUGUUAGUCUUGAGUACGGUCAAGGUAGGCGGAAUGUGUAAUGUAGCGGUGAAAUGCUUAGAUAUUACACAGAACACCGAUUGCGAAGGCAGCUUACUGGGCCAUUACUGACGCUGAUGCACGAAAGCGUGGGGAGCGAACAGGAUUAGAUACCCCAGUAGUC